GAUGAACGCUAGCUACAGGCUUAACACAUGCAAGUCGAGGGGAAACGACAUCGCAAGCUUGCUUUUGAUGGGCGUCGACCGGCGCACGGGUGAGUAACGCGUAUCCAACCUGCCCAUCACUUGGGAAUAACCUUGCGAAAGUAAGACUAAUACCCAAUGACAUCCCACGAAGACAUCUGAAUGGGAUUAAAGAUUUAUCGGUGAUGGAUGGGGAUGCGUCUGAUUAGCUUGUUGGCGGGGUAACGGCCCACCAAGGCAACGAUCAGUAGGGGUUCUGAGAGGAAGGUCCCCAACAUUGGAACUGAGACACGGUCCAAACUCCUACGGGAGGCAGCAGUGAGGAAUAUUGAUCAAUGGGCGAGAGCCUGAACCAGCCAAGUAGCGUGCAGGAUGACGGCCCUAUGGGUUGUAAACUGCUUUUAUAAGGGAAUAAAGUGGGUCUCGUGAGACUUUUUGCAUGUACCUUAUGAAUAAGGACCGGCUAAUUCCGUG
rnacentral:rRNA from 1 species